UACGGAGGGUGCAAGCGUUAUCCGGAUUCACUGGGUUUAAAGGGUCCGUAGGCGGUUUGGUAAGUCAGUGGUGAAAGCCCAUCGCUCAACGGUGGAACGGCCAUUGAUACUGCUAGACUUGAAUUAUUAGGAAGUAACUAGAAUAUGUAGUGUAGCGGUGAAAUGCUUAGAGAUUACAUGGAAUACCAAUUGCGAAGGCAGGUUACUACUAAUGGAUUGACGCUGAUGGACGAAAGCGUGGGUAGCGAACAGG
rnacentral:rRNA from 1 species